AAUAUGACAAUUGGAUAUGAUGGAGAGUAUUGUUAGAGGAAGACUGGGAGAUAUACACUGAGUGCACAAAACAUUAGGAACACCUUCCAAAUAUUGAGUUGCACCCCCUUUGCCAUCAGAACAGCCUCAAUUUGUUGAGGCGUGGACUCUACAAGAUGUUGAAAGUGUUCCACAGGGAUGCUGGCCCAUGUUGACUCCAAUGCUUCCCACAGUUGUCAAGUUGGCUGGAUGUCCUUUGGGUGGUGGACCAUUCUUGAUACACACGGGAAACUGUUCAGCUUGAAUGACCCAGCAGUGUUGCAGUUUUUGACACACUCAACCCAGUGCGUUUGGCACCUACCAUACCCCGUUCAAAGGCACUUAAAUCUUUUGACUUGCCCAUUCACCCCCUGAUUGGGACACAUACACAUCCAUGUCUCAAUUGUCUCAAGGCUUAAAAAUCCUUUGUUAACUGGUCUCCUGCCCUUCACCUACAAUGCAAUAAUACCUUUUUUUUUAAGAUAUCCUGCAGACUUACCGUUAUUGUACAGGUUUAUACUCGUGACUAAUUUGAAGUAUUGUCAGUGUAUUUGGUUAAAAAAAAAUUAAAAAAAAUGGGGCCAAAACACAGCAUUACGCAACUUAAUAUCCAUUACGGCUCGAAAUCGAAGAAUAGAGGGAGGAAUAAGGAGAAAGGAAUGAGGUGGGAGAGGGAAGAAAAACAGCUGUGGGAGUGAGGUUGCGAAAAAGAAAGUGAUGAAGUAUAGCCUACGUUUUGAUGACAACUAUGCCGGGCCAGUCAAGGUGGAAGUUUGAAUUGAUCAUGACAUCCUUUGACCUGUGGGGGAGCAGUGAACUAUUCUCCUCUGGAGUAUGGGCCCUGAGAAACCUGAUCCACAGGAUGCCGACCAUCCCUCCCUCCUCCCUCGACGCCCACCCACCAGCUUUCCCGCCCUUUUCCUUUACCACACCACCCGCCCCCCCCUGUUCCCCGUAUCCCUCCCCACCAUGCUCUCCAGGGCCUGGGGUGAAGGGGAUUGGAGGGUCCGGAGGGGUGACCCUGCGUUCUCCAGCCACUCGUCACCUCACCCACCUGGACCCCUGGAGGAGGCAUAGCUGGGAGCCCGGGGCUGUGGUGACAGUGCAGCAGCAGGGGAUGGAGCCCAGCGACAACCACAGGUAGGGGGUGCCCUAAACAUAAAAUUCUAUUUUGGAAUCCU
rnacentral:lncRNA from 1 species